ACUUUGAGAGAAAACCCACCGAGCUCGUUUUGACUUCAAGAGCAGCAGAGCCAAAUUUUCAAGGACUCUCUGCUCACAUUUUUUUGUUAUGGUAGUUUGAUAGGGAAGCCUUUUUUAUUCUUGUUUUUUGGUUGUCAGUGAGGAUGAAAGAGAUGGGUCCUUCCUGUUUGACAUUCCUUGCGGAUUUGUUGCAGGUUUCGAUAAGGCUUCUGGAAGGGGUCGUUUCUCUUCUUAUUUGCCUCAUGGACAAUGGUCAUGACUCAUGAACAGGGCAUGGCACAUUUGAAAGAGGAGGUGCGAGUGCGCGCAGAAGAGGUUUGAUGGAGCUUGUCUUCGUUAAAGCUCUGUUGACAUUCUGUUUGCUGCUGCAAAGCCCUUGUUGGUAAUCAACAAGGCUUGGAAAAUUCCACCGGAUUGGUCAUACACCCGUUGAUACACAUGUAUCGUAAACGAGAUUGCGACCGCUCCGGGGACCUCCAUAGCUCCAUGGUGACACAGGUAUAAGAGACGCUGCAUUUAUUUGCCAGGAGAGCACCAUCAUUUGUUGAACCAGCAGUCCUUCACUAGGAGAGCAUCACCAUUUGUUGACGUAGCGGUCCUUCACCAGGAGAGCACCUCAUGGGAAUGGUGUUGUGGUUUUGAUGCGUGCCAAAGAGACUAUUGUGGGCAGCAGCUUGACUUCUCCGUGAUUGCCGAUGUGGUAAUCACCUUGGUCACCAGCAGGAGAUUAUGAGGAUGGAAGCAUCAUAGACACUCCAGAGAUAUUUUUGGCCUUGCUUCAUGGAUCUUGGCACUUGACAAUGUCUGCACCAUGAAAGGAAGAGUUCAGUAAUUUCAGGUGAUAAUCAUUAUAUACCUGUGACUUAUGGAGCUUCUUCUACUGAAACGUGGUCCUCCGUUCGUGGCUUCUCUUGAAAGCUUUAAGGAUGGAAUGCUGUAGGACUCCGGUCGUGAGUGAACUCUAUCUUUUCUGCUCUCCUCUUUCUUGGGUGCCUCAAUGCUGCAGAGCUUUCGCCUAUUUUUCUCUGCCUCCAGUCUUUCUUGAUGCCCCUUUUUUUCUUCCCCUGUUUGCUGCAGAAGACGUGCCUUUUUAUAGGCAACUGGAUAAACUUGAUUAAGAUCGCCAUCAAUUCAAUUCAAAUUGAGGUUAUGAUAACCUUUGUCAAUUUGAAUUGAAACGAUUAUAGCAGCAACCACCUUCUAUCUUCCACGUUGAAAGUUUCUGAUAUCUUUUGGUCAUUCAGACUUUGUAUAGAUAUCAACAUUGACUCGGUCUUGAAUUUGCAAGAUGGGAAGAUUAUCCAAGAUUCUAAAUUUGAAUUGUGAUGCAUUGAGUACCAAUCCACGUGAUGCAUGCAUGAUUUGUUCUAUUGCUUUCUUCUUCUUCUUUGUUAAUUAUUUAUUUUGAAGAUAGAGUUUCUGUUAUGCAUUUGAAGACAACUAGAACUCUUCUUUCUUUGGUCACAACAAACCUAUACAUUAUCAUGCUUUGGAGAUAAUCAAGCUAACCAACUUGAAAGCUACUGGAUUCUCACUUUUGCAUCGAA